AUUGAACGCUGGCGGCAGGCCUAACACAUGCAAGUCGAGCGGUUGAGGUAGCUUGCUACCGAUGCAGCGGCGAACGGGUGAGUAAUACAUGGGAAUCUGCCUGGUAGUGGGGGACAACGUCUCGAAAGGGACGCUAAUACCGCAUACGCCCUACGGGGGAAAGGGGGGGAUCUUCGGACCUCUCGCUAUCAGAUGAGCCCAUGUCAGAUUAGCUAGUUGGUGGGGUAAAGGCUCACCAAGGCGACGAUCUGUAACUGGUCUGAGAGGAUGAUCAGUCACACUGGAACUGAGACACGGUCCAGUAUCCUACGGGAGGCAGCAGUGGGUAAUAUUGGACAAUGGGCGCAAGCCUGAUCCAGCCAUGCCGCGUGUGUGAAGAAGGCCUUAGGGUUGUAAAGCACUUUCAGUGGGGAGAAAGGUUAUUCACCUAAUACGUGAGUAAAUUGAUGUUACCCACAGAAGAAGCACCGGCUAACUCCGUGCCAGCCGCCGCGGUAA
rnacentral:rRNA from 1 species